rnacentral:rRNA from 1 species
CCUACGGGCGGCAGCAGUGAGGAAUAUUGGUCAAUGGACGAGAGUCUGAUCCAGCCAAGUAGCGUGAAGGAUGACUGCCCUAUGGGUUGUAAACUUCUUUUAUAUGGGAGUAAAAUGCUGCACGUGUGGAAUUAUGUAUGUAUCAUAUGAUUAAGGAUCGGCUAACUCCGUGCCAGCAGCCGCGGUAAUACGGAGGAUCCGAGCGUUAUCCGGAUUUAUGGGGUUUAAAGGGAGCGUAGGUGGAUUGUUAAGUCAGUUGUGAAAGUUUGCGGAUCAACCGUAAAAUUGCAGUUGAAACUGGCAGUCUUGAGUACAGUAGAGGUAGGCGGAAUUCGUGGUGUAGCGGUGAAAUGCGUAGAUAUCACGAAGAACACCGAUUGCGAAGGCAGCUCACUGGACUGCAACUGACAUUGAGGCUCGAAAGUGUGGGGAUCAAACAGGAUUAGAUACCCUUGUAGUC